UUGGAUCCUUUAUAUUUGCUUCUGACUCCCAUCUUCUUUCUCACGCUUCAUUCCAAACCCUAAAUCAUUCUUUCAACCGUUUCUCUUUAGCUUCACUACAUUCUCUUUAAAUCAAACUUGGAUCCAUGGAUUAUUUUCAAUGAAGAAUCUAACUGAUGUUGAAAGAGAUAUGGGAUCAUCAUCAUCGUCGCCGAUCGCUAGAGGACGCCGACGACCAUCAAUUUUGGCAGAGAAAUGAUGAUGGAUUUAUGCUUUAUAUGACAGUGACACCUAUUGCUUCGCCGACGAACACGAUGGAGCUGGUGAAUUUAGGGUUUUGCCUUAAAGUUGGAGAGAGCCUGUGACGAGGGCAAUUGCAAUUGUAUUUUGAUGGACUAUCUUUGAGGGUUAUAUCUAAGCUUCGAGAUGUUAUGAUCUUUUGGAUAUCUGAAAUGCUUGAAGUGAUCAAACAAGUUAAAUAAUUUGCUGUCCACUUAGGAAAAUUACAAAGAAAAGAUGUCUAAAUUUCAGGGCUCAAAGAGAAAGCAUCCAUCCAUCAAUAGCAUCCUGAAGUGGUCGAGAGGCGUAUUUAUACAGUAGCCACUGGUAUUUAUUUCUAUUCACGGACCUCAUGUUCCUGGUUUGUCUUCUUCUAUUAGAAGUUUUUGUUCAUCGGCGUGGUCGUACAAGCUAGGCCAGGUUGGAUCUCAUACAGAGAGUAUACUGGUGCAAGCACUGAGGAAGAGAGGACAUGUUGUUGUUGUUACUGGCGAUGGAACAAAUGACGCCCCUGCUUUACAUGAGGCUGAUAUUGGUCUUGCGAUGGGGAUUCAAGCCUCUAAAUUAGCAAAAGAGAGUAGUUCUGGUUGGGUUUGUUAUUAACUUUCGGUUUAUGUAUUAAGUUUACUAAUAUAUUACUUUCAUAUUCAAAUUUAAAAUUUUAACUAAAAAAUCAACAGUAUCUUAUCCACAAAAGCGUUUUAUAAUUAUUGAGUAUAUUUAUUUUAUUAAGCCCGUGUAAUACAUGAGGCUUUACAUGCUGGUAUAAAAAAAUAAAUUUAAAAGGAAAUGGUCAAGCGUUGCCAGAAUAGGUUCAGGUUCGUAUCUAGAUGUAAAUAGUUGCUUUAGUCUAACAACAUGUCUUUGUAUGUUUUAUUUUAUCGUGAGACACGCCACUGGAGAGAUCAUGUGAGCAUCCAUUUAGCUUAUGCUAGAAGAUCCUUCGGCUAGAAUCCCAGAUAAAGUGCCACUGGAGUAUAGAGCUAUUUCUUUUUGGCAGUUCAGUUUGCUCCAUCUGUGGUGUUGGGAACUAAUAGGACGCAAACCAUAUUCUGAUCGCUUGCCAGUUUGCCAAUUAUGUUUGGAGUCAAAUUUGCCUUUGGAUUUAAAUCCUUCCCAUCAAGCUGAAUAUAUAGCAUACUCACAGGUUGAUUUAACGAAGAUGCAGUUUUCUGAUAUUAGCUUUGAUGCAGCAUACGCAGUUGAUGCUACUUGCUAUGCUCCAGGUAAACAUGUUCGUGGGUCCUACCCAAAACAUUAGAGGUGGUUUCUCAGAGGUUUUUACGACGGUGAUCUUUAUAUGGUUUAGAUAAUCAUUAUUAGAGAACAUGAAAUAUAAGUGGAAUUAAGGGAAAACAGGUGAACAUAUGUUUCUUAGAAUUGCUUCUGGUUUUGUUAUUCCUAUUUUUUUCCAUAUGUGAGUUGGGUAUGAGUAGCUAUGCUCUGUUUCACUUUUAUCUUCAAAGAACGCCACCUCCUGGAUUCCAACCCUAUAUCGAUCUUUUAUUAAUGAAAUCCUUCUCACUCCCAAAUCUGCCUACGCAUGUACCUUUUUUGACCUCCUAGAUUCCCAACUAGCCCUCUGUCUGCAAACACAUUGGGGCCCUAAUUUAACAAAAUUGGUUUGCCCGCUUUCAACGGGUACUCGAGUUUUGCUGGAAUCAGAGUGUGGAUUGUAACCAGCCACUUUAUUAAAAGUAGUUCAAAGCACUAUGUGGAGUUCAUGGGCCUUUGAGUCCUACUGCCCUAUCUUCCACACGUCGACUCUGGUGACAUGGGGAUGCCAAUUGGAAACCACAACAGAGAAAAUGAUGAGUGUGGCAUUCAGCCUGAUACACCAGAUGCUGCUGGUGGCCACCACAAUGAAACCAGCCCAAACAAUAUGCUACCAUGUGUGGUGUUUGGUGAGAUGAUAACAUCAGAUGAUAAUGAAGAGAAUAUUGAAGAUAGAAUUACAAGACCUGAUGCAUUAGAUGGUAAUGAGUAAUGCAUACCAUAACGGUUCUUCUGGUUCAGAUAGAAUUACAAGACCUGAUCCAUUAAAGAUAUGAAUGGGAUUUUAGGUAAUCAUCAGCUCCUUGGUCUGAGAAUAAUGAGGAUGAUGGCCUUGUGAUAAAUGUUCAGGAUGGGAACAAUAAAGAUAGGCCCAUUAAUGGUAUUGGCAUUUAUGUAGCCCAUCGUAAUAUAUAUGGUAGGUGCCAGUGGGCUUUGAUAGAAUGGGCCAGAGGUAAUCAUCAAGCCUUCGUUUAGAAUACGUUGGGCUUUAUACAUCAGUAACAAGCUUGGAAAGUGGCCUGAAGAUAUGAUCAGUAGGAAGGAUUCUUAGACUAACAAGUAUUUCACAAGCAUUUUGCACACCAAAGUUAAUUCGAAUAAUAUAGGCAUUGGAAGUCAUUGUGUCUGUAGUUUUUGUUGUCUUGGGCCAAUUUGGUUCGUUGGGUAUCUGUCAUGGGCCUUAGUUAGCCUUUAGGUUUUAGAAUUAGGAAUAGUUGUAAUUGUAGUAGAGUUGGGCCGGUUUUUGUUUUUUGUAUUUGGGCUAAGACUUUCACUAAAUCAACUAGAUUUUUUAUUAUUGUAUGUUCUUUCAUAUUAAUUUUCCAUUUAGUUA